GCCUUCUCUCUAAAGCACCCUGCUCAAACUGCAGAAGCUGAGCCUCCUGGGGCUCAGCCGAUGCGGAUGUGUAAGCACGGGUACACCAGGGAAGGAGAUUAAAGCCACAGUUUCGGAAAUGAGGCGUGGAGGGACCUCUUUCUUAAUGUCUGCUGUCCAUUGUCUCAAGAUGCUGUGUUACAUCA